rnacentral:rRNA from 1 species
GAUGAACGCUAGCGACAGGCUUAACACAUGCAAGUCGAGGGGAAACGACAUGCAUAGCUUGCUUUUGAUGGGCGUCGACCGGCGCACGGCUGAGGAAUGCGCAUCCAAUCUGCCCACCACUUCGGGAUAACCUUGCGAAUGUAACACUAAUACCCGAUGAUAUCUCUAUAAGACAUCUGAAAGGGUGUAAAGAUUUAUCGGUGAUGGAUGUGGAUGCGUUUGAUUGGCUUGUUGGUGGAGUAACGGCCCUCCAAGGCGACGUUCAGUAGGGGUUCUGAGGGGAAGGCCCCCCAGAUUGGAACUGAGACACGGACGACACUGAGACGGAGGAGAGCGGUGAGGAAUAUAGGUGGAGGGACGAGGGCCUGAACCAGCCAAGUAGGGUGCAGGAUGACGGCGCUAGGGAUUGUAAACUGCUUUUAUAAGAGAAUAAAGUGAGUCUCGUGAGACUUUUUGAAUGUACCUUAUGAAUAAGGACCGGCUAAUUCCGUG